rnacentral:tRNA from 1 species
GCUCCUAUAGCUCAGUCGGUAGAGCAGCUGCCUUUUAAGCAGACGGUCGCUGGUUCGAUCCCAGCUGGGGGCACAA